AUCCAGAUGACGAGUCCCAAAUAGGACGAAACGCGCGUGGAAUUGGAU
rnacentral:hammerhead_ribozyme from 1 species